rnacentral:rRNA from 1 species
GGUUAAGCGACUAAGCGUACACGGUGGAUGCCCUGGCAGUCAGAGGCGAUGAAGGGCGUGCUAAUCUGCGAUAAGCGCCGGUAAGGUGAUAUGAACCGUUAUAACCGGCGAUACCCGAAUGGGGAAACCCAGUGUGACUCGUCACACUAUCAUUAACUGAAUCCAUAGGUUAAUGAGGCGAACCGGGGGAACUGAAACAUCUAAGUACCCCGAGGAAAAGAAAUCAACCGAGAUUCCCCCAGUAGCGGCGAGCGAACGGGGAGGAGCCCAGAGCCUGAAUCAGCAUGUGUGUUAGUGGAAGCGUCUGGAAAGGCGCGCGAUACAGGGUGACAGCCCCGUACACAAAAGCGCAUGUGCUGUGAGCUCGAUGAGUAGGGCGGGACACGUGGUAUCCUGUCUGAAUAUGGGGGGACCAUCCUCCAAGGCUAAAUACUCCUGACUGACCGAUAGUGAACCAGUACCGUGAGGGAAAGGCGAAAAGAACCCCGGCGAGGGGAGUGAAAAAGAACCUGAAACCGUGUACGUACAAGCAGUGGGAGCCCCACCACUAAGCCAGUGGUGAACUCCACAUACGCAUCCUUUGCUGAGGAUACGGUUAACGGAGCGCAAGCGACGUUCAACCGCAAAAGAAGCAGAGGGGGCUUAGUGGUGGGGUGACUGCGUACCUUUUGUAUAAUGGGUCAGCGACUUAUAUUCUGUAGCAAGGUUAACCGUAUAGGGGAGCCGGAGGGAAACCGAGUCUUAAUUGGGCGUUAAGUUGCAGGGUAUAGACCCGAAACCCGGUGAUCUAGCCAUGGGCAGGUUGAAGGUUGGGUAACACUAACUGGAGGACCGAACCGACUAAUGUUGAAAAAUUAGCGGAUGACCUGUGGCUGGGGGUGAAAGGCCAAUCAAACCGGGAGAUAGCUGGUUCUCCCCGAAAGCUAUUUAGGUAGCGCCUCGUGAAUUCAUCUCCGGGGGUAGAGCACUGUUUCGGCUAGGGGGCCAUCCCGGCUUACCAACCCGAUGCAAACUGCGAAUACCGGAGAAUGUUAUCACGGGAGACACACGGCGGGUGCUAACGUCCGUCGUGAAGAGGGAAACAACCCAGACCGCCAGCUAAGGUCCCAAAGUCAUGGUUAAGUGGGAAACGAUGUGGGAAGGCCCAGACAGCCAGGAUGUUGGCUUAGAAGCAGCCAUCAUUUAAAGAAAGCGUAAUAGCUCACUGGUCGAGUCGGCCUGCGCGGAAGAUGUAACGGGGCUAAACCAUGCACCGAAGCUGCGGCAGCGAACGUAUCACUUAAAGCGAUUCAGCGGGUUACGAUUGACGGAGCGAAGCGACGUCAAAGCGUAUACAAAGUCGAGUCGGUUUAAGGAUACGUUCGUUGGGUAGGGGAGCGUUCUGUAAGCCUGUGAAGGUGGCCUGUGAGGGUUGCUGGAGGUAUCAGAAGUGCGAAUGCUGACAUAAGUAACGAUAAAGCGGGUGAAAAGCCCGCUCGCCGGAAGACCAAGGGUUCCUGUCCAACGUUAAUCGGGGCAGGGUGAGUCGACCCCUAAGGCGAGGCCGAAAGGCGUAGUCGAUGGGAAACGGGUUAAUAUUCCCGUACUUGGUGUUACUGCGAAGGGGGGACGGAGAAGGCUAUGUUGGCCGGGCGACGGUUGUCCCGGUUUAAGCGUGUAGGUGUGUGUUCCAGGUAAAUCCGGUUCACUUUAACACUGAGGCGUGAUGACGAGGCACUACGGUGCUGAAGCAACAAAUGCCCUGCUUCCAGGAAAAGCCUCUAAGCAUCAGGUAACAUCAAAUCGUACCCCAAACCGACACAGGUGGUCAGGUAGAGAAUACCAAGGCGCUUGAGAGAACUCGGGUGAAGGAACUAGGCAAAAUGGUGCCGUAACUUCGGGAGAAGGCACGCUGACAUGUAGGUGAAGUGAUUUACUCAUGGAGCUGAAGUCAGUCGAAGAUACCAGCUGGCUGCAACUGUUUAUUAAAAACACAGCACUGUGCAAACACGAAAGUGGACGUAUACGGUGUGACGCCUGCCCGGUGCCGGAAGGUUAAUUGAUGGGGUCAGCGCAAGCGAAGCUCCUGAUCGAAGCCCCGGUAAACGGCGGCCGUAACUAUAACGGUCCUAAGGUAGCGAAAUUCCUUGUCGGGUAAGUUCCGACCUGCACGAAUGGCGUAAUGAUGGCCAGGCUGUCUCCACCCGAGACUCAGUGAAAUUGAACUCGCUGUGAAGAUGCAGUGUACCCGCGGCAAGACGGAAAGACCCCGUGAACCUUUACUAUAGCUUGACACUGAACAUUGAGCCUUGAUGUGUAGGAUAGGUGGGAGGCUUUGAAGCGUGGACGCCAGUCUGCGUGGAGCCGGCCUUGAAAUACCACCCUUUAAUGUUUGAUGUUCUAACGUGGACCCGUGAUCCGGGUUGCGGACAGUGUCUGGUGGGUAGUUUGACUGGGGCGGUCUCCUCCUAAAGAGUAACGGAGGAGCACGAAGGUUGGCUAAUCCUGGUCGGACAUCAGGAGGUUAGUGCAAUGGCAUAAGCCAGCUUGACUGCGAGCGUGACGGCGCGAGCAGGUGCGAAAGCAGGUCAUAGUGAUCCGGUGGUUCUGAAUGGAAGGGCCAUCGCUCAACGGAUAAAAGGUACUCCGGGGAUAACAGGCUGAUACCGCCCAAGAGUUCAUAUCGACGGCGGUGUUUGGCACCUCGAUGUCGGCUCAUCACAUCCUGGGGCUGAAGUAGGUCCCAAGGGUAUGGCUGUUCGCCAUUUAAAGUGGUACGCGAGCUGGGUUUAGAACGUCGUGAGACAGUUCGGUCCCUAUCUGCCGUGGGCGCUGGAGAACUGAGGGGGGCUGCUCCUAGUACGAGAGGACCGGAGUGGACGCAUCACUGGUGUUCGGGUUGUCAUGCCAAUGGCACUGCCCGGUAGCUAAAUGCGGAAGAGAUAAGUGCUGAAAGCAUCUAAGCACGAAACUUGCCCCGAGAUGAGUUCUCCCUGAGACUUUAAGUCUCCUGAAGGAACGUUGAAGACGACGACGUUGAUAGGCCGGGUGUGUAAGCGCAGCGAUGCGUUGAGCUAACCGGUACUAAUGAACCGUGAGGCUUAACCUU